rnacentral:rRNA from 1 species
UGGGGAAUAUUGCACAAUGGAGGGAACUCUGAUGCAGCGACGCCGCGUGAGUGAUGAAGGAAUUCGUUUCGUAAAACUCUGUUCUAUGGGAAGAAAAGGACUGUACCAUAGGAGAAAGCUCCGGCUAAAUACGUGCCAGCAGCCGCGGUAAUACGUAUGGAGCGAGCGUUGUCCGGAAGUAUUGGGCGUAAAGGGUGCGCAGGCGGCUUUACAAGUUGGAUGGGAAAUAUUGUGGCUCAACCACAAACGUGCAUCCAAAACUGCAAAGCUUGAGUUAAGGAGAGGUAAGGGGAAUUCCUGGUGGAGCGGUGGAAGGCGUAGAUAUCAGGAGGAAUACCGGUGGGGAAGGGGACUUACUGGACUUAAACUGACGCUCAGGCACGAAAGCGUGGGGAGCAAACAGG